UACGAAGGGGGCUAGCGUUGCUCGGAUUUACUGGGCGUAAAGGGCGCGUAGGCGGACAGUUAAGUUGGGGGUGAAAACCCGGGGCUCAACCCCGGGCCUGCAGUCGAUACGGGCAGACUAGAGUGCGGUAGGGGAGACUGGAAUUCCUGGUGUAGCGGUGAAAUGCGUAGAGAUCAGGAAGAACACCCGUGGCGAAGGCGGCCCACUGGGCCGGUACUGACGCUGAGGCACGAAGGCGUGGGGAGCGAACGGG
rnacentral:rRNA from 1 species